AUAAUUAUAAUAGUAACUCCGUUACAUUAAGUUCUAGGUAAGUUUUGAUUAUGACAUUAUUUAUCUAUAAGUCUUGACUAAUUCACGUGCCAGCAGUCGCGGUAAGACGUGUAAGACAAGUGUUAUUCAUAUUUAUUAGGUAUAUUGGGUACUCAGACAGUUAAUUAAGCCGAUAAGGAACUAAUUAUACUAGAGUUUUAUGAGAAAAGGCUAGAACGGUGAGUGUAGUGAUAAAAUACGUUGAUACCACUUAGAGACUGACAACGGCGAAGGCGACCUUUUAUGUAAAAACUGACGUUAAAGUACGAAGGCUCAAGAUAAGAAACAGGAUUAGAUACCCCAGUACUGUGGGCAGACAAUGAUGAGUGUCAUAGGUAAGUAUAAAUAUAACUUUUAUAAAAGUUAUAUAACUAUUUACGUAUAAAUGAAAAUGUAAGCACUCCACCUUAAGAGUAACAUGGCAACAUGGGAACUGAAAUCAUUAGACCGUUUCUGAAACCAGUAGUGAAGUAUGUUGUUUAAUUUGAUAAUCCACAAAAAACCUUACCACAAUUUGUAUGUUUUUUUGAAAAAAAAAAUCACAGGAGUUGCACGGCUGUCUUCAGUUGAUAUCGUGAGAUUUUGGUUGGUUCCAUUUAAUCAACGUAAACCCUUACUUUAUUUUAUUCAUAAAGUAGUUCAUCAACAUAUGAUAUGAUAAUAGGGACUAAGACAAGUCAUCAUGACCCGAAUAUUGUGGGC
rnacentral:rRNA from 1 species